rnacentral:lncRNA from 1 species
AUGAUUACUGCAGGCUGGUCCAUCACCCCUGGAGGCUGCCCCUCCCAGCCUACCCUGGGCUCACUCUCAGAUGCAACACUGCACCCUGCCUGGGGGCUCACUCCUCCAAGGAAGAUGUUGCUGGAGGCAUCGAGCCAGCGGCAUAGAUUCGGGCAGUAUAGGGUGGCCGGCGGUCACAGAGGAUGCGGCAGGCGUGGCGGGAGAUGGUGCUCUGGGCAGAGGGCCUCGGCAGCCCCUCCCCAGGGACGUGUCUGUCACCACGAAGUCAAUCAUGUUCUCCGUGGAGCGGCCAAUCUGGAACAUAUCUGUGUCACCGUCGUGUGUGUACUCGACUAUGACCGAGUGGCUCCGGGACAGUGUGUAGGAGAUGCUGUGCUGGCCACGGUUGCUCAGUGCCUGGGGACAGAAAGGAAAACUCAUUUCUCUGGGGAUAUAGCCAGGAGAAGUGUGCGCUUCUGUGACAGAAGCUGGAGCCUGACAUCCAGCAGCCAUUCCCAGGAAGGGUGGUUCCACCUCUUACAGAGGGCAAACUCUGCAGCCAGCCCUUUACACAGGUUAUCUUAUUUGAUCCCGUGUGCACGGUCAUCGCUCAGUCAUGUCCUACUCUUGUGACCCCAUGAACUGUAGACCACCAGGCUCCUCUGUUCAUGGGAUUUCCCAGGCAAGAAUGCUGGAGUAGGUUGCCAUUUCCUUCUCCAGGGAUCUUCCCAACCCAGGGAUGGAACCUGCCUCUUCUGUGUCUCCUGCAUUGCUGGAAGAUUCUUUACCACUGAGCCAUUGGAAAAGCCCCUAUUUAUCCCUACAGCUUCCCAAAGGAGGCAUGGUUAUCAUUCCCAUUUUACUGUUGAAGGAACUGCAUCUCAGAGAAGAGAAGAAACCGGUCAGAUGUCAAAUGACUGGAAACAGCAGAGCCCAAAUUACAACCCCAAACCUCCGAAGCCAAAGGCUUUGCCUUUGUCAUUACGGUGUGAUUGUCAUGUCCCUCCUGGAGCCUUGGCUGCCUCAAAUGAUGUUGACCACUUCCCUCCCAAGGGAUGGGAUCUAGUGGUCCAGGAAAUACUUUGCAAGCUACGACAUACUGCGAGGAGUCUCCCACCAGCCCCAUGCUCUGGUUUCCCAGGGUCGUGAGUGAAGACACGUGGGUUCCCCUGCUCUGGCGGGCCUGUGAGCAGGUAGGACUGGGAAGACUGCCACCGGGUCUGCUAGGACAAGCUGCUUGCCUUGGAGACGAGCGGCGUUGAGAUGUGGUGAAUGACAUCUGGCUUCACUCCGUUGGCGUGUGGCCGCGACUCAGCGCCAGGCGGCCGGCGGCCCUUGUCCCCACUUGCCAGACACCCAUUGUAGCUGUGGAUGAGGGGUUAAGAAGAAAAGGUUGCAGGCAGAGAGUGACAGCAGAUGAGUCCCUGAGAGACUAGGAGGAACCACCAACUUCUGGGCAGAUCCUGCCUUAAUAAACAAGCCCUAAAACUACCAGAUAGAAGACUCUACUCUAUCAAAUUGGUGCCUUGGAGAAGUGAAGUGGGGGUGGGGUGGUCAAAAGUUCUUCAAAAGAGUUUUCAUUCAAUUAACCAGUGUUUUCUGGACUCCUGGACCAUGCCUGGUCAGGCACUCGGUGCUGGGGUGGUACAGAUGACAUACCACAGGCCAGUUCUGUGCCCUAAGUUGUUUGAGGAACCUGGAUGCCACCUGCCCUGAUCCAGACACAAGCCAAGUGUGUCCCAGGCCUAGAGACAGGAGAAAGGAAUUCUGAUCCCAGGAGCAGGUUUCAAGAGAUGGGACACCUAUACGGGCCUUGAAGAACUAGAAAGGAGUUCUUUAGCAAACUGUCAUUUAUUAGAUCACAAGUACUACUUGGAAACCAGAAAGGAAGAAAAAAAGUAGACCCACAAAGCCACUAUCUCUACACAUUCAUACACAUCAAAUUUCUUCCUUUCCAGCCUUGUCCAGAUUGUAGAAGGCAAAGAUGGGGUGAGUCAUAACCUUGAUCGCUGCCAUGAACUGGAGCCUCCUGUGUUCCUGGUACUUCACAUUAUUAAUUACCUAAUGGAAUCUGUGUAAUGUCCUGCCAGGCAAGUGUCUUUCUAUCUUUCUUUUCAUUUUAUGAAUGAGGCAAAUUGAGGCUCAGGAGGUAAAAUGACUUGCCUGAGGUCCCAGGCUAGGAAGUGGGAAAAGUCUAGAUUUGACCUCUCAUCUGUCUGACUCCAGGCUCUUUUGCAGAAGAUUCUCGGUAAGGAGGGCUUACCCUGAGCAAAGGCCCUGUGGCAGGCAGGGUUUGAGCGAUGACUUGGGUGGGAGAGUGCAGUUGGGGAAAAUGAACUUGGUGGGAGGCCCUGAACUCCAGGAAGAGCAUUCUGAACUUUAGUCCAUAAGCACUGGGGAGCCACAGCAGGUUUGGCAGCAGGAAGUGAAAAGGAUGAAUAGCUGCCAAAUACAGCCAGGACCACUUGAAUCAGAAUCUUCUCUGGACCCACAGAGGGAGAUUCUGAUUCUGUAGAUUUGGGAUGAGCUUGUCAGUGGGUAAUUUUUCAAUGUGCUCUCUGGGUGGCUCUGAUGUCCAGCCAUGGGGCUUCACUGCUCCGUGGAGAACAGAUGGCUCUCAAGAGGGCCUGUCGCCUUAGGUCUGAGCUCUCCCUCAUCAGUGGCCUCAUUCCCAGCUGUGAUUCCAGCUCUUCCUUUGGGACAUGAAGCAGUUGCUUUCUUUGGGGGCGGGGAGGCGGGCAGUGCCACGUGACUUGUACGAUCUUAGUUCUCCAACCAGGGAUCAAACCCUGGGUCCUCGGCAGUGAAAUCGUGAGUCCUAACCACUGGACCGCCAGGGACUUCCUAAGUGGCUGCUUUUCUAAUGCAAGCACCCCUGAGAGGGGCAUCACUUUGCGCUUGUAAGCUCUCCCACAUAUGGGGGUAGGGCAGUUCAGGACACGCCUGAGGGUUCAGAUGGACCUGACUUAAAUCUGGGCACUUCUGCUUAUCAGAUAACCUCUGUGCAUGCUAAGUCACUUCAGUCAUGUUCGACUCUGUGUGACCCUGUGGACUGCAGCUUGCCAGGUGCCUCUGUCCCUGGGAUUCUCCAGGCAAGAAUACUGAGUGGGUUGCCAUGCCCUCCUCCAGGGAUCUUCCUGACCCAGGAAUCAAACCCGCAUCUCUUAGUGUCUCCGCGUUGGCAGGCUGGUUCUUUACCACUAGUGCCACCUGGGAAGCCCUAUAACCUCUGUAAAAUGGGGCUAAUUUUCUCAGGAUCUACCUCACAGGUUCAUUAUGAGAGCUAAAUGAGAUAAAGCAUUUUAAGAUGCUUGGCACAGUUUGGCAUAUAUUUAACAAGCCCUUGAUAAAUGUUAUCUAUGACUACUAUUACCAAAAAUAAAAAUAAAAGCACAUGGCACGUACAUGUCAACAAACAGUAGCCAUUAUUAUUUCUAAAUAGUCAUCACAGUGAUAACAUAGUUUAUCAGAUACUCUCUUCAGGGCACAGAGAGAGGCCAAAAGGAGGUACAGAAGGGAGGAAGGAGAGGAUCUGUGCAUGGGGCAAGCAUCCUGGUCAGGCGAAGACCAGGAACGGAUAAGGUCUACUCAGCUACCAGCUCACGUUGCUUCCUUUCUCCUGGCCUCAGUUUCCUCAUCUGUAGCACGAGGGUCAGCUGUCACUUAGUGGAAGUGCAUUAAACCUAGAGUAAGAAAGACCUGGGUCCAAAUCCCAGCCCUGCCACUUACCAGCUGUGUGCCCUUGGGCCAGCCACUUCCUCUCUGAGCCUUGGUUUCCUCACCUCCUUCCUCACAGCAUCUUUGUGAAGAUUGAAAUGAAAUAAUGUCCAUGAAAGGGCUUGGCACACGCCUGCCUCCCAGAAUACUUGGUGCAGGCCAGGCACUGUGCUACGUGCUUUACAGAAAUCACCUCAGUCAUUCCUUCCAACAGCCCUCUGAGGUAUUAUUAUUAUCAUCGUCUCUACUGGUAAGUGGGGAAAUGGAGGCACAGGAAGUUAAGCAACUUACAAAGGCAGGAUUUGAACCAAGCACUUUUGCUGGAGGACCAGAGUUCAUCCCAGACUACACACAUGAGGUGUUUUAUAAAAGGCAGCUGGUGCUACUUUCUUCCGUUCAGAAACUUAGAUGGGCAGGGUUGUCUCCAUAAUUUAUGAAAAAUGGGAAGAUAAAAUAACAAUUGUGAAUUGAGGUGGGCUUGGUCAACUUUGUCUCUCAGCUGGGAAGGUGAGGAGGGACGAGCAGCAGAAGGCUGUAAAUGGGGAGAGCUGGGACCCUUGGUCUGGCUGUCCUGUGGGGUGCCUGGUGCCCCGCCUCGGACCAGGGAGGCUCACCCCAGAACGAUGAGUUCGCCAUACUUGAUGGGCUCCUCCUGGCUGUGCAUCUUCACUGGGAGAAGAGAGCACGCAAGAGCCCUGGUUCCCGGGUGCUGGAGGUCUGAGGUUCGGGAGACCCCACUUCAGGGUUUCCUUCCAGCACCAUUCUGGGCAGAGUGGGAGAAGAGAAAAGAGCUUUGCAGCCUCCCACCCCAACCCCUCAAUGCCAGUUCCAGCCUGCUGCAGGCCACCUAGGCUAAGACCAGAGUGACCUUUCACCCACUCUGUUGCUAUGGCAACCACUUCACCUCUGCCUCCCCUAAACUGUCAGCGUUGCUGGGAUACCAGGGAAGGGAGAUGGAUGGGGUGGAACCAAGAGGGAGGAGCUGCCCAAUCAGAGGGUCAGAAUAUUUGGCAGAGCCAGAGGGAUGGCUCAACUUGGGGUGGCCAGAAGCUUCUUUUGGCAGGACCUCUGUCUGGGAUGUGCUUGGAAGAAAAGCACCCCAGGAGUUGGGGCCCCUACUGCUCAUCUUACAUUCAGUUCCUGGGUUUGGCUCUCAGCCCCAGGGCCUCUGAGGAACCCUUCUGUCAGGUU